rnacentral:rRNA from 1 species
GAGGAAUAUUGGUCAAUGGGCGGAAGCCUGAACCAGCCAUGCCGCGUGCAGGAAGAAUGCCCUACGGGUUGUAAACUGCUUUUCCCCGGGAAGAAUAAGGCCCCUGCGGGGGUCGAUGCCGGUACCGGGGGAAUAAGGAUCGGCUAACUCCGUGCCAGCAGCCGCGGUAAUACGGAGGAUCCUAGCGUUAUCCGGAUUUACUGGGUUUAAAGGGUGCGUAGGCGGGGCGCUAAGUCAGCGGUGAAAGGCGGCGGCUCAACCGUCGGAAUGCCGUUGCUACUGGCGUCCUUGAAUGCGGUCAAGGCGGGUGGAAUGCGUGGUGUAGCGGUGAAAUGCAUAGAUAUCACGCAGAACGCCGAUAGCGAAGGCAGCUCGCCGGGCCGUGAUUGACGCUGAGGCACGAAAGCGUGGGGAUCGAAC